AAUAUAAAGAACUACCCAAGACUAGGUAAUUUAUAAAUGAAAGAGGUGUAAUUGACUCACAGUUCCACAUGGCUGGGAAGGCCUCAGGAACCUUACAAUCAUGGCAGGAGGUGAAGAAGAAGCAAGUACCUUCUUCACAAAGCAGCAGGAAAGAGAGAAGUGCAAAGGAGGAACUUCCAAACACUUAUAAAACCAUUGGAUCUCAUGAGAACUCACUCAUUAUCAUGAGAACAAUAUGGGGGAAACAGCCCCUAGGAUCCAAUCAUCUCCCUCCCUCAACAAGCAGGGAUUACAAUUCGAGAUGAGAUUUGGGUGGGGACCCAGAGCCAAACCAUAUCACUUGUGCUGGUGGAGCCUGUAGAAAUAAAGGAGUGAUUGUGUUUGUGUUUCAGAUGAAAUGAGAGUGGCUCUUAUCCUGGAUAACUAUCGGUUGGCUAAUUGGCUGGAUCCCUCACUGGAUUAUAAGGAACACUGUCAUGAAACCAGGGGCCUUGUCAUGAUCAUCAUGUAGAAUCGUACUAGGAAACUAAUUCAAACUCAAUAAACAUUUGUUGAAUAAAUACAAGAAUGAACAGCACACAGCAGCUGCAGGAGGACAGGGAAUGCUUUGGAUUUGAGAGCUGGGCUGAUAACAGACAUUUAUAGACAGUAGCAAUAGGACCCUUUUUGCUGUUUAUCCAUCAACCCUCAAAUCCCAAGUAGAGUACUGGACUUCCCACAGUUAAUGGGGAAGGAGCUCAAGCAGUUCCAUUUGGACAUGAACAGAAAAGGCCCCCAAAAGACCACAUAACUCAGGGGCAAUCAGUUUCCAUCAUUUUUUUAUAGUUAUCUUUCAUAUUAGAUUUUUUCAGGUAAAAUUUACAUAUAGUAAGUGAAAGGCAAAUAUCCUAAGUGUACUUGAUGCGUUUUGACAGUAUUCUCUCAUGUUACCAACAUAUAAACAAAAUAUAGAACAUUUCCAUCACCCAAGUAAGUUCCCUUUGUGCCCCUCUUCCAGUCAAUGCCCAACACCUUUCUCACAGACAACACGUUUUCUUAUGUCAUUCACCAUAGAUUCAUUUAACCUGUCACAAAUGUCAUAUAAAUAAAGUCAAUAGCGCACAC
ensembl:lncRNA novel transcript